GAACCCAUUCGGAGGGAAAUUUAACAGGGCGGAGAGCUGCUCGUGCACAUGCGCAUAAAAGGCGCAGAGAAGUCUGGAGAAGCUUAUGCAGGUCCUGAGGAGAAAGCUUCGUCGGACGCGUUCCUAAUCAUAUUAAUACCGUGUAGAUUCUGCGAGAACGAGCAUGAACGAGCCAGACAAGAUUAAGGGCAAGCUGGAAACCAGGAAUGGAAAGUACGCCAGGAUUGAAACAAAGAGGACAGGAGCAACAAUAGUUGCUAAACAAGAUCAAGGAAAUCAGCCUAACGUUACUGUUUAUAGGAGUUAUGAGAGUCAUAAGAAUGUCUGCGUGGCGUUCUGCUUUGAACUGGAAAACAAGAAAUAUUUUCCUGUAGUAAAGAAGCAAGUAGACUCAACAGCUCCAGCCCAAUUCCAGGUAGAACCGAGGAAUGAUCCAGAUGCUAUAGAUGAAUCGGUCCAGUUCAGGUGGACUAAGGCAAAAGGAGCCUGGAAAUUCCUGAAUUCUGUGGCAGAACCCAGCCAGUACUUGUCUGUCUAUAAAAACCAGUUCACCCUCAGCACCACACCAACAACUUAUUUCAGAUUCAAAUCCAACAUGCGCCGAAUGAAGAGAAAAAUGUCUGUUUGAAUUCUUUUAUUGCUAGCCAGCACGGGACACCGCACAUCAGUACAUCUUUACAUGUAACCAUGUAACAGCAUUAACAGGUUUAUAUGCAGUGUAACUCCUGAAAAUAUCUAACCUGAAGAUUAUUUUUGCAAGUAGGCCUGCUGUACCAACCACACGUAAUGCACACUCACUUUACUGUGUGUUAUAGAUUUUAAGAGACUAGCCGUCUCUACUAUGCCAAACAAGAAUACCGAAUGUUUUUGCAUACAGUACCAUAUUUUUAUUAUUUCACUUUAUAAACAGUUGUAUGCAAAAGUUUAGGUACUCCUCACCAAUUUUUUGAAACGCAGCCUCUGUUUGAAUGCCUUACAAAGUCAGUACUUUUAACUUGGCAAAAGUUUUGGGCCAUCUUGCAUGCAUGUAUAAAAUAUCUACCCACAGAUUUUUAAUGAUGUUCAAGUUGGGGGACUGUGAGGGCCAUUCUAAACUUUCAGCAUGUGUUCAGCCUUGAUGUAGUUCAUGAUGGACUUUGAGGUAUGUUUUGGAUCAUUGUCCUGUUGUAGAAGCCUGCUUCUUUUGAGCUUGUUCAGUGUUGGCCUGAGAUUCAGAGAGUCAGAGAAGAGUCAGAGAAUUUAUUACACUCUUAUUACACUUGCCUAACCAGUCCUCACAAGUCACUUAAAGCCUAUUGAGUAAGUUCUGAGAUUUUACAACUGGAAGCUUACAAACUUUUUGACAUAUCAUUUUUUUUCUAUUUAUUCUUUUGCUUUAACACUUGCUGAAAAGUGUUAUUUUUAAUAGUCUGCUGCAGAGGAGUUGUUUAUUUCUUUUCACUUCAGAAAAGUAUGGAAUUUGCCCAGGGCUGCCCAACAUUUUGCAGACAGCUAUAUUAAUAGUUGAAGAGAGAUCAUUUUAGCUGCCUUUUUACAUGCUUACAUAUUAAUGUCUGAUAAACAGAAGCAGUGCAUUCCAUAGUUUGGUGCACAAAAACAGAAAGCUGCCUUUACACUAAUUCUGUAUUUUGCUUUAGAUAUUUGAAGUAGACCAGCAUUUACUAAACUGUGAUCAUGUAAUGGAGUGUGUGCAGACAGACUUCGAGUUAAGUUCAUAGGUGCUGAAUCAUUGUGCUUUUAAAAAUGUUUUCUGGAAGACACAUGCAACCAGUGUAAAUCUUUCAAAACAGGAUUGAUGCAUGAUAUGUCCAAAUAGAUCCUGAACCACUUUCAAUUACUGCAGUCACUUUAAGGUGCACCCAUUGAUGACAUAGGCGUCACACACAGCUUUUAUGAGUCUAAAGUGUAGGUUUACUUCCUGUCCAGGAAACCAACCCAUAGUGCAUAACCUUGAUUAGUUUUGUUUGGGAAGCCCAGAAAAGACAGCAUUACUAGAAUCCAACAUUUUGGCCUUUGCCAAAAAGUGAUCAUUGCAUUUAUGCUUUAUAUUAGGGUUCCACAGACCUCACACACUGAGCUACAUCCCAUGGUAAAGAGAUGACAAUAAGGGGAUAGGCUUUCAAAGGAUAUUACACUGAUUCAGAGGUCACUAAACUGUGAAUACGUUAUUGUAGUUUUAAAUAGACAGGGGCGGGUGUCAUACACUUCAGCCUCUGUCGUUUCAGAUUGGUGGUGCUGUCGUAGAGUGAUGGGAAUCAUUUAACUCACAUUGAGAAUGAGCCCAAACAGAAGAAUUUGAAAAACAAUUUUCAAAAAAAGUAAAAAAAAAAAAAAAGACUAAUUCAAACGUAUUGUUGGCUCUCAGACUACUCAACCAGAUCACUUUGGUAAACACAA